ACGGUGAAGCCCAGCUUGCUGGGUGGAUCAGUGGCGAACGGGUGAGUAACACGUGAGUAACCUGCCCCUGACUCUGGGAUAAGCCUUGGAAACGAGGUCUAAUACCGGAUAUGUGACGUUCAGGCAUCUGAUGCGUCUGGAAAGAUUUAUCGGUCAGGGAUGGACUCGCGGCCUAUCAGCUUGUUGGUGGGGUAACGGCCUACCAAGGCGACGACGGGUAGCCGGCCUGAGAGGGCGACCGGCCACACUGGGACUGAGACACGGCCCAGACUCCUACGGGAGGCAGCAGUGGGGAAUAUUGCACAAUGGGCGCAAGCCUGAUGCAGCGACGCCGCGUGAGGGAUGAAGGCCUUCGGGUUGUAAACCUCUUUCAGCAGGGAAGAAGCGCAAGUGACGGUACCUGCAGAAGAAGCGCCGGCUAACUACGUGCCAGCAGCCGCGGUAAUACGUAGGGCGCAAGCGUUGUCCGGAAUUAUUGGGCGUAAAGAGCUCGUAGGCGGUUUGU
rnacentral:rRNA from 1 species